rnacentral:rRNA from 1 species
UCAGGCCUAACACAUGCAAGUCGUAAAAAUUAGAUUUAUCUAAUCUAGUGGCGGACGGGUGCGUAACACGUAAGAACCUACCUUUUGGAGGGGGAUAACAUUGGGAAACUGAUGCUAAUACCCCAUAUUAGCUGAGGAGUGAAAAGCGGGUAUCUCGUGAGGGAGCCACGCGCCAGAAGAGGGGCUCGCGGCUGAUUAGCUAGUUGGUGGGGGUAAAAGCCUCCCAAGGCCACGAUCAGUAGCUGGUCUGAGAGGAUGAUCAGCCACACUGGGACUGAGACACGGCCCAGACUCCUACGGGAGGCAGCAGUGAGGAAU